rnacentral:rRNA from 1 species
AUUCUGAUCCGCGAUUACUAGCGAUUCCAGCUUCGUGCAGKCGAGUUGCAGACUGCAGUCCGAACUGGGACGGUAUUUUUGGGAUUCGCUCCCCCUCGCAGGYUCGCUUCCCUUUGUUUACGCCAUUGUAGCACGUGUGUAGCCCAAAUCAUAAGGGGCAUGAUGAUUUGACGUCAUCCCCACCUUCCUC